rnacentral:tRNA from 1 species
GCGCCUGUGGUGAAACGGCAUCACGAUAGCUUCCCAAGCUGUAGUUGCGGGUUCGAUUCCCGCCAGGCGCU